rnacentral:rRNA from 1 species
CAGAACGAACGCUGGCGGCAUGCCUAAUACAUGCAAGUCGAACGAACUCUUCGGAGUUAGUGGCGCACGGGUGCGUAACGCGUGGGAAUCUGCCCCUUGGUUCGGAAUAACAGUUGGAAACGACUGCUAAUACCGGAUGAUGACGAAAGUCCAAAGAUUUAUCGCCAAGGGAUGAGCCCGCGUAGGAUUAGCUAGUUGGUGAGGUAAAGGCUCACCAAGGCAACGAUCCUUAGCUGGUCUGAGAGGAUGAUCAGCCACACGUGGACUGAGACGACGGCCCAGACCUCCGUACGGG